rnacentral:lncRNA from 1 species
CCUCCAGAGUCAGAGAGCUGGGGAUGGUGUCUGGUAUAAAGACCGGAUGAGGUUUAUCUACAGAACUGAGAUUUUGGAAGGCUGGAACCGACAGACUCCUAGAACUGCUAGAGGAGGAAGUGUUGGAGGACAUUUUGAAUCAAGUGAAAAUCCUAAAAAUCUCGAAAAAAUUAAAAAAAAUAAGAAACGGGGUGCUCACAGAAAAUCGAAUAGACAGAAUGUAAAGGAAGAAAAAUGAAAGAAGAACAGCAAGAAAAAAUACAGGAGGAGAGUUCUAGAACUAACCUAGGCUGGUCCGAAGGAUGCAGAAAUGCAGAGAUGGGGAUGACUCGAAGAAUGCCUA